GACAUACAGCAGUUUUGUUUCUUGAAGUUAUAUUGUGAUUUUAGUAAUGAAGUGAAAUAAAUUUUAGGAGAAAUAAUAACAUCAUGGUUGAGCAAACUUUGAUCCAUAGGGAUCUGCUCCUAUUAUUAGUGUAUUAGGAGAAAUUUCUCUAAAUUUUCUGCUAAUACCCGUAAGCGUACCUCCGGUACCAGUUCCCAUAACCUAAAGUAAACAUUUGUAAAUGUUUGUCUACUACACUGUUUUUAACACUGCGCAUCAUCAAAGCGCAGAGGGAAAAUUCAAGGCCAACUAAUGAUUCUAUUCAACCAGCGACGUACUUCAGUAUAAAAUUGUUACCUAGACGUAAGUGAAUAUGAAAUAAUUAAUUUCGAUAUGAAAUUAUGGAAAUAGGUGAUUAAAUAUUAUCUUUAACUGGAAUAAAA